rnacentral:lncRNA from 1 species
CGGCGCCAGCCUAGCCCGAGGAUGGAGGCUGAGGCCGCCUGUUGAGUCACAGUUUCCCUGUGAUGCUCAUUUUAACCAGAUGGCACUUGCUUAGCAGUUUGGAGGAGAAGACCUGUUCCCCUGCAGGUAUGGGCCUUUGGGAUCAUUACCCUCUCCAGAUCUGGCAGCUCCAUCAGGUGGUGGCUCUUUCUCCAAACGUCCUUGACAGCUUUAGUGCUCCUCCUUCUACUGUGCCCUCUGGUGAGCAGGGGUUUUCUGCAUCUGUGGUGACCAUAUUUCUGAACCCAGAUGAAUCAUGGGUAUGAGAAUUCUUGGGGUGUUCAAGGGAACAAAUAUUUAUUUAUUUAUUUAUUGAGAUAGGGUUGUACUCGGUCUGAACUCACCCAGGAGUUCAGUGGCAUGAUCGUGGCUCACUGCAGCCUCAACCCCUGGGCUCCAGCUAUCCUCCCACCUCAGCCUCCCUAGUAGCUGGGACUAAAGGUACAUACCACUAUACCCAGCUAAAUUUUUGUACUUUUUUUUUUUUAAGAGAUGGGGUUUCACCAUGUUGCCCAGGCUGGUCUCAAACACCAGGUCACAAACGAUCUUGUGACCUUGGUGCCUGCCUUGGCCUCCCAGAGUGCUGGGACUGCAGUGGGAGCGGAUCUUUGAAAUUGUGGCUGCCCUGAGAAGCCAGGGGCACAUGGCAGUUGUACCUCUGCUGGGGCAUCCUGGGAGCUUUCCAGCAAUGGGACUUCCCUUUUGGAUAUGGUCAGACUAGUUGCAUGCCUUUUUAUUUUGCUUGUUACCUAGGUUUCUCCCUCAUGAAAUUCACUUAUUUCAGUUACCAAAAAGUACUUUGUAGAUAAUGAUGGGGGCUUCUUACAUUGAUGGCCCAGAAAGGCUGGAAGAUGUAGGUUAACCAGACGGCCCAGGCACAAAAGCCAUAUCCACACAUUCUAAACAGGGAGAGUGCUGAGAGCCCACCCUUUGCUUUGUUUCUGGGAAAAAAUAUUGCCUCCUUCCCCUAAGAAACUGAUCUGAUUUUUCAGUGUGACCGUCAAUGUUCAUCUACCCUAAGGAUACUCAACUCUAUUUCAUGUUGUUGUGCAAAUAAAGCCUAAGGGUUGGUGAGAGGUUCUGGCUUCCCCUAAAAUACUCACUCACUGGUUGUGAACUCUUUUGUGAGAGGUGGAUUCUGAAAGUGAAUGUGUGGCUCUUGAAUACGGGGAUCAACACCAGCUGUGUUGGCAGCAGAACUUGCAGGGUUUUAGGGAAAGAGAUCUGGGGCAACAAAGGGAGGGUAGCUGGGCAGAGUGGGGGUGAGUGGGGUGGAGCUGGAAUGGGGAAGGCCAAGGUAAAGAUGGACCAAGAGCUGAGACUAGCUGAGGAGCCCUGGUCUGCAUGGCUGGGGCAAGGCUGGCUCAAUCUCAGCUCACUGCAACUUCCAUCUCCUGGGUUCAAGCAAUUCUCCUGCCUCAUCCUCCUGAGUAGCUGGGACUACAGGUGCCUGCCCCCAUGCCCCGCUAAUUUUCGUAUUUUUAGUAGAGACAGGUUUUCACCUCAUUGGCCAGGAUGGCCUUGAUCACUUGGCAUUAAGUGAUCCACCCACCUCGGCCUCCCAAAGUGUUAGGAUUACAGGCAUGAGCCACCAUGCCCAGCCCCUUGAACACAGGUCUUUAAAUGGUUUAUUUAACAAAUUCUUACAAGAGUCUACAAUGGGCUUGACUUACGUGGAGGAAAGAUGCCUAUUGUGGAGGAACCCUUACAGUGGACUUUUUUUUUUUUUUUGAGUCAGGGUCUCACUCUGUCACCCAGGGUGGAGUGCACUGGUGUGAUCAUGACUCACUGCAGCCUCGACCUCCUGGCUCAGGUGAUCCUCCCACCUCAGCCUCCCAAGUAGCUGAGACCACAGGUGCACACCACCACGCCCAGCUAGUUUUUUUAUUUUUUGUAGAAAUGGGGUUUCUCCAUGUUGCCUGGUCUGGUCUUGAACUCCUGGGCUCAAACGAUCUGUCCAUCUUGGCUUCCCAAAACCUGAAGCCAGGCCAGGUAUGUUAAUUUCCUCGGGCCCCCAUGUCAAAAUACCACAAACUGGGUGGCUUAAAUGUUGAUCAUUUUAUUGUCUCACCUUUCUUGAGUCAGAAGUCUGAGAUUAAUGUGUCAGUAGGGUUGGUUCCAGGCAUUUGGAGGUGGGGCACUCAUAUUUCCUUCUGAGGGCUGUGCAGGAGAAUCUGUUCCAUGCCCCUCUCCUAACUGCUGUUUUGUUUUGUUUUGUUUUGUUUUGUUUCUCUUUCCUCCAUCUUGUGGAUGCAAAAAUAUAAACUGACCCAAGAGAUUCAUUAUUUAGAAAGUGAUGCCUUAUACCCAGGAUUUAAUCAGUGGCUCUUCAGGUUGCCAUGUAGAAAGCAGCUUUGCUGGCUGCCACUUUCGAUCAAGGGCUAAACUCUGAGGGUGACAUGCCACUAAGGAGCUGAACGGAGCCUGAGUCCUUGUAGCAGAGGCUGGUCUCCAGUCCUGUCUGUUCUUCUUCUUGGGCACACAGCUAGGCUACAUUCCCUAGCCUUCCUUGGAGCUUAGAAUAAUUCCUAGCCAAUAGCAUUUGAGUAUAAUUGAGUGGGCCACCUCCAGAUGUGGCCCAUUACAAGUCACAUUCUCUGCCUCCAACCCAGGUUACUUCAGGUAAUAAUCCUUCUGCCUAGAAAGGUUGGGCACCCUGAUAUGCACAAAUCUGCAUUAACUUCACAGAUGACUCAAUUAGCAGGUGAUGACUUACUGGCAGUGUUCAUUACGGUGGCCUUUCUAGUUGUCAUCUUCCCAGAUGACAUUUUUAGAAUUUCAUCUCUACACUUUCCAAAAACACUACUUGACACCUGUGGGUUUUAAAAUGAAAUAACCUCAGAUAUGAAAUAACCUUUCCCCAAUCCAUUCAUUGUAGUUGGAAGCUGGUCUUACUAAUGGCAGGGUGACCGUAACACUUGGUUAUGAACCAGGGUAUUGCCUCCAACCAAGCCUUAACAAUCUCAUCCUCCCUUUAGCCUUCCAUGAUUAGACCUCAACUCAUGAGAACUCUUGCCUUGCUCACAAGUGGGAGUAAAUGCUCAUAGCUCUAGAAAUCUCCCAGGAACCAGACAUCACGGAAACUAGAAAGGCUAAGGGAGUCCAAUCUUCCUCUAAAUUGGCCAACAGUAGAGUGGUGGAAAGAGAACAAGCUGCAAACCAGACAGACCCAAGCUUGAAUCUCACCUCUGCCAAGCUACCAGAGCUCAACAAACUACAGACCACGGGCCAAAUCUGACCCACCGCUGCUUUUGUAAAUAAAACUUUAUUGGAAAAAAGCCACAUUUGUGUAUGUGUUGUCUGUGGCUGCUUUUGUGCUACCGAGACAGAGGAGUGAACCUCAUCCAAGCCACUGAAGGCCUGAAUGGAAUGAAAA